rnacentral:piRNA from 1 species
UAGAACCAGAAAUCUUGCAUUCUAGCCCUGCC